rnacentral:tRNA from 1 species
GGUGAAUACAGCUCAGUGGUAGAGCGUGUGCUUAGCAUGCACGAGGUCCUGGGUUCAAUCCCCAGUACCUCCA